AGUGUUCAAGGUUCCGGUCCGGAGUUCAAAUCUAUUAAUGAACAAAUAGAUAAUCCUGGGAAAAAGAAAUUCUCCAUAGAUACAUUGAAUACUUGAAUAUUGCUGACAUUUAGAAGUACGGUUUUGUCUUUCAGGUGAUCAACAUACUGCGCAUGCUUCGGUUGACGUGUACUUGGAAUCCAGACGCUAAUUAGGCAUCUGCGAGGCGCAUGCGCGCUUUCGUUCACCCAGUCGUGAGAAGUACACCACGCCUGUCUGCUACCUCAGUCUGAAACAGGUACGAUCAGGAGAGGAGUUUGCUGAAUUGUCAGGAAGGAUACCUCGGAAGGAGGAUUGUUGCAAAGAGAUCAUGGCAAACAAGCUGAAGACACUGGUUCUUCUACUCCUGGUUUUUGAUGGAAGGCACUCUUGGUUUAUCCUUCCGGAGCCGGAGAGACGAGAAGUU